rnacentral:rRNA from 1 species
UACGUAGGGGGCAAGCGUUAUCCGGGUUCACUGGGUGUAAAGGGAGCGUAGACGGCCAUGCAAGCCUGGAGUGAAAGCCCGGGGCCCAACCCCGGGACUGCUCUGGGAACUGUGCGGCUGGAGUGCGGGAGGGGCAGGCGGAAUUCCUGGUGUAGCGGUGAAAUGCGUAGAUAUCAGGAGGAACACCGGCGGCGAAGGCGGCCUGCUGGACCGCGACUGACGUUGAGGCUCGAAAGCGUGGGGAGCAAACAGG